rnacentral:lncRNA from 1 species
UUUGAUCCUAGUUAAAAUCCUAAUAGUUUUUACUUAAAUCCUAAAUCAAAUCCUAACUAAAUUCUAAAAAAAUCCUUAAUCCUAACCAAUUCUUAAAUCAUAAAUCAAAUCUUAAUCAAAUUAAUCUAACCUUGGGUAGUUUAGAACCUUAAUAUCUAUCAAUUAUACUAUUGAUCUUACUUAAAAUUUUAUUCACUUUUCAACAACUAAAUUAACAACAAGCACACAAGAUUUGAAGAAGAUCAAAUUUACCAAAUAAAAGAUCAAUCCUAAAUUCCACUCAGGUAUUGGCCAGCCUCUUACUCUAAUCUAAAUAUUGAACUUCUAAUACAAAAUUCUCCUUCUUGAAUCGUUGAAUUGCCUCCAAAAUAUACUUAAACCAUAGAAAAUAAAAUCUAAUCUCUACACAAAAAAAACAUCACUAUAAUCCAAUCAACAGAUUACUAAAGAUCUUAAAAAUACUUAUUAAUCCUCAAAUUCUAAUUUUUAAGACCUCAAUCCACAAAAACCUUUACAUACUUUGAUCUAAUUAUUUUAUUACCCUCAAAAUCUUCACACAUAU